AUUGAACGCUGGCGGCAUGCCUUACACAUGCAAGUCGAACGGCAGCACGGGAGCAAUCCUGGUGGCGAGUGGCGAACGGGUGAGUAAUGUAUCGGAACGUGCCCAGUCGUGGGGGAUAACGUAGCGAAAGCUACGCUAAUACCGCAUACGAUCUGUGGAUGAAAGCGGGGGACCGUAAGGCCUCGCGCGAUUGGAGCGGCCGAUAUCAGAUUAGGUAGUUGGUGGGGUAAAGGCCUACCAAGCCGACGAUCUGUAGCUGGUCUGAGAGGACGACCGGCCACGCUGGGACUGAGACACGGCCCGGACUCCUACGGGAGGCAGCAGUGGGGAAUUUUGGACAAUGGGCGCAAGCCUGAUCCAGCAAUGCCGCGUGCAGGAUGAAGGCCUUCGGGUUGUAAACUGCUUUUGUACGGAGCGAAAAGGCUCUCUCUAAUACAGGGGGCUCAUGACGGUACCGUAAGAAUAAGCACCGGCUAACUACGUGCCAGCAGCCGCGGUAA
rnacentral:rRNA from 1 species